AUGCCCAUCCAAGUUCAUGAUGAUUCUGAUUGGUGGUUUUCUAGAGUACCACUCAUGCAUUUUUGGAUUGUGGAGUUUCACUAUCCAGAUAGGUGCUUGGGCAGCCCAGAUAAACCUAUUCCAUAUCCUCGAGAUAGCAUUGAAUGGACUGGCUACAUGCCUAGUGGUCCGCCACUAGCUUGAAUUGGGUUACGUGAGUUAAAGAAUGCCGCAUGGGGGAUCAAAUGUGCUACUACUAGGGGAUGCAAGAAGAUAGGGAAAUCUGUAUUGAGGUCCUGUGUAGGAAAUUUGUUAGAUCUGAACUUGGAGCCUAGGCUGCAAAGCAUGCUCACUGAGGCUAGGUUACCACUGAAGAUUGAAGAUAUUCCAUCUCACGAUGAUGUUUCUUAUAUUGCUCACCCACCAAGCCCCCCAAAAGAGAGCAACUCUGAUGUGUUUAAUGAAUGGAUAUAUUCCGGCAAAGGUUUUACAACAUACUUGAAGGCUGGUGAGCAGUGA
rnacentral:rRNA from 1 species